GACGAACGCUGGCGGCGUGCUUAACACAUGCAAGUCGAGCGGUAAGGCCUUUCGGGGUACACGAGCGGCGAACGGGUGAGUAACACGUGGGUGAUCUGCCCUGCACUUCGGGAUAAGCCUGGGAAACUGGGUCUAAUACCGGAUAUGACCUCCUAUCGCAUGGUGGGUGGUGGAAAGAUUUAUCGGUGCAGGAUGGGCCCGCGGCCUAUCAGCUUGUUGGUGGGGUAAUGGCCUACCAAGGCGACGACGGGUAGCCGACCUGAGAGGGUGACCGGCCACACUGGGACUGAGACACGGCUCAGACUCCUACGGGAGGCAGCAGUGGGGAAUAUUGCACAAUGGGCGAAAGCCUGAUGCAGCGACGCCGCGUGAGGGAUGACGGCCUUCGGGUUGUAAACCUCUUUCAGCAGGGACGAAGCGCAAGUGACGGUACCUGCAGAAGAAGCACCGGCUAACUACGUG
rnacentral:rRNA from 1 species